UACGUAGGGUGCAAGCGUUGUCCGGAAUUAUUGGGCGUAAAGAGCUCGUAGGCGGUUUGUUGCGUCGGCUGUGAAAUCCCGAGGCUCAAUCUCGGGUCUGCAGUCGAUACGAGCAAACUAGAGUGUUGCAGGGGAGACUGGAAUUCCUGGUGUAGCGGUGAAAUGCGCAGAUAUCAGGAGGAACACCAACGGCGAAGGCAGCUCGCUGGGACGGUACUGACACUGAGGCGCGAAAGCGUGGGGAGCGAACAGG
rnacentral:rRNA from 1 species